UGGGGAAUUUUGGACAAUGGGGGAAACCCUGAUCCAGCCAUCCCGCGUGUGCGAUGAAGGCCUUCGGGUUGUAAAGCACUUUUGGCAGGAAAGAAACGUCAUGGGUUAAUACCCCGUGAAACUGACGGUACCUGCAGAAUAAGCACCGGCUAACUACGUGCCAGCAGCCGCGGUAAUACGUAGGGUGCAAGCGUUAAUCGGAAUUACUGGGCGUAAAGCGUGCGCAGGCGGUCCGGAAAGAAAGAUGUGAAAUCCCAGAGCUCAACUUUGGAACUGCAUUUUUAACUACCGGGCUAGAGUGUGUCAGAGGGAGGUGGAAUUCCGCGUGUAGCAGUGAAAUGCGUAGAUAUGCGGAGGAACACCGAUGGCGAAGGCAGCCUCCUGGGAUAACACUGACGCUCAUGCACGAAAGCGUGGGGAGCAAACAGG
rnacentral:rRNA from 1 species